AUGGAAACAAAUGCAGUCCCCUCAUGGCUGCUGCUGCUCGGGGUGCCAGGUUCCAUUGGGGACAUUGUGCUGACUCAGUCUCCAGCUUCCAUGCCUGUGUCUGUGGGAAAAAAGGCCACAAUCUCUUGCAAGUCCAGUAAUCGUGUAGAUGAAUAUGGCAUAGAUUUAGUGCAGUGGUAUCAACAGAAACCAGGACAGCCCCCCAAACUCCUCAUCUAUGCAGCAUCCAACCUAGCACCUGGGGUCCCUGCCAGGUUCAGUGGCAGUGGGUCUGGAACAGACUUCACCCUCACCAUCCAUCCUGUGGAGACUGAUGAUGCUGCAACCUAUUACUGUCAGCAGAGUAAGGAGCUUCCUCCCACAGUGCCCCAGGGCUAA